GCAUAUCAAUAAGCGGAGGAAAAGAAACCAACAGGGAUUGCCUCAGUAACGGCGAGUGAAGCGGCAACAGCUCAAAUUUGAAAUCUGGCCCCCCGGCCCGAGUUGUAAUUUGCAGAGGAUGCUUCGGGCGCGGUGCCUUCCAAGUCCCCUGGAACGGGGCGCCGGAGAGGGUGAGAGCCCCGUACGGUUGGCGGCCAAGCCUGUGUGAAGCUCCUUCGACGAGUCGAGUAGUUUGGGAAUGCUGCUCUAAGCGGGAGGUAGACCCCUUCUAAAGCUAAAUAUAGGCCAGAGACCGAUAGCGCACAAGUAGAGUGAUCGAAAGAUGAAAAGCACUUUGAAAAGAGGGUUAAACAGCACGUGAAAUUGUUGAAAGGGAAGCGCUUGCGACCAGACGUGCGCCGGGGUGCUCAUCGGGCGUUCUCGCCCGUGCACUCGCCCCGGCGCAGGCCAGCGUCGGUUCUCGUGGGAGGAUAAAGGCCCCUGGAAUGUGGCUCCUCCGGGAGUGUUAUAGCCCGGGGUGCCAUGCUCCCCUGCGGACCGAGGUUCGCGCAUCUGCAAGGACGCUGGCGUAAUGGUCCCCAGCGACCCGUCUUGAAACACGGACCAAGGAGUCAAGGUUUUGCGCGAGUGUUUGGGUGUAAAACCCGCACGCGUAAUGAAAGUGAACGUAGGUGAGAGCUUCGGCGCAUCAUCGACCGAUCCUGAUGUUUUCGGAUGGAUUUGAGUAAGAGCGUUAAGCCUCGGACCCGAAAGAUGGUGAACUAUGCUUGGAUAGGGUGAAGCCAGAGGAAACUCUGGUGGAGGCUCGCAGCGGUUCUGACGUGCAAAUCGAUCGUCAAAUCUGAGCAUGGGGGCGAAAGACUAAUCGAACCAUCUAGUAGCUGGUUACCGCCGAAGU
rnacentral:rRNA from 1 species